AGGACGAACGCUGGCGGCGUGCUUAACACAUGCAAGUCGAACGGUGAAGCCUUUCGGGGUGGAUCAGUGGCGAACGGGUGAGUAACACGUGAGUAAUCUGCCCUUGACUCUGGGAUAACUUCGGGAAACCGUGGCUAAUACCGGAUAUGACGCAUGGUCGCAUGGUCUGUGUGUGGAAAGAUUUAUUGGUCAGGGAUGAGCUCGCGGCCUAUCAGCUUGUUGGUGGGGUAAUGGCCUACCAAGGCGACGACGGGUAGCCGG
rnacentral:rRNA from 1 species